UACAGAGGGGGCAAGCGUUGUUCGGAAUUACUGGGCGUAAAGGGCGCGUAGGCGGCCUGUUAAGUCGAACGUGAAAUCCCCGGGCUCAACCCGGGAACUGCGUCCGAUACUGGCAGGCUUGAAUUCGGGAGAGGGAUGUGGAAUUCCAGGUGUAGCGGUGAAAUGCGCAGAUAUCCGGAGGAACACCGGUGGCGAAGGCGGCUUCCUGGACC
rnacentral:rRNA from 1 species